rnacentral:lncRNA from 1 species
GGCUCCUACGGGAGCCGGUCUUCUUCCCCGAACAGGUAGACUUCGUCCGAGCUCUUACGAGAGCCGGACUUUCACCCUGAACUCCUGUUGCAGGUAGACCUCAUCCAAACUCCUACAAGGGCCGGACUCCGAGCUUCUACUACAAACGCUCUACUUUAAAUUUCUACUACGAGCAGUCCGCAUCGGAUUCCCACUGUAAGCCUUCACCCGAGCUUCCAUUGUGGAUGAAUUCCUUCCAAAUUUCUAUUGCAGGCGGCUUCGACCGAGAUUCCUCGACAAAUGAUCCCCAUCCGGGCUUCUACGGA